rnacentral:rRNA from 1 species
UACGAAGGGGGCUAGCGUUGUUCGGAAUUACUGGGCGUAAAGGGCGCGCAGGCGGCUCUUCAAGUCAGAUGUGAAAGCCCCGGGCUCAACCUGGGAACUGCAUUUGAGACUGGAGAGCUUGAGUUCGGGAGAGGAUGGUGGAAUUCCCAGUGUAGAGGUGAAAUUCGUAGAUAUUCGGAAGAACACCAGUGGCGAAGGCGGCUCACUGGCCCGGUACUGACGCUGAGGUGCGAAAGCGUGGGGAGCAAACAGG